GCAUUGAAACACCGAUUUUCGUACGAUCUCUAAAAAGUUAAGCAACUACGUGCGUGAUUAGUACCUAGAUGAGUGACUGCCUGGGAAUAUCAAGUGCUGUAA